rnacentral:lncRNA from 1 species
AUUUUUCUUUUUUUCUUUUGGAAAAAUUCUUGAAAUUUUUUUCCUGAUUUUUGAUUUUUUCAUUCUUUUUCACCCUCUCUCUCUCUUUUUUUUUUUUUAAUUGAUUGCAUUUGCAAUGCCCCAGUUUGACUGCUUUGCUGAUUCUCAUGAUACAGCUGAAUGAGCUUCUUUGGUGCUCAAGAAGGCGGGUAAUCUCAUCAGGAAUCCCCUUCAACAUCAUCUU